rnacentral:rRNA from 1 species
CCUACGGGAGACAGCAGUGGGGAAUAUUGCACAAUGGGGGAAACCCUGAUGCAGCAACGCCGCGUGAGUGAAGAAGGAUUUCGGUAUGUAAAGCUCUAUCAGCAGGGAAGAAGAUGACGGUACCUGAGUAAGAAGCCCCGGCUAACUACGUGCCAGCAGCCGCGGUAAUACGUAGGGGGCAAGCGUUAUCCGGAUUUACUGGGUGUAAAGGGAGCGGAGACGGCAGGGCAAGUCUGGAGUGAAAGCCCGGGGCCCAACCCCGGAACUGCUCGUGAAACUGUGCGGCUAGAGUACUGGAGGGUCAGGCGUCAUUCCUUGUGUAGCGGUGACAUCCUUAGAUAUUAGGAGGAACCCCAGUGGCGACGGCGGCCUGCUGUACCGUACCUGCCGUUGAGGCUCGAAAGCGUGGGGAGCAAACCGGAUUAGAUACCCGUGUAGUC